AAUACCGUGCCCUCAUACAAGAGCAUCCCAAACUUGUCCCGGAGGAAGUCAAUUCAAGCUUAUCAACAAUGAAGAUCUCAUUUGUGCUUGUUUUAAUAUUUGGUUUGAUCAUGAUCUUCUCCAACACUAGUGUGGAAGGUGAAUACAUCGAGAAUCCCUUGAGUUUCUCUCUUCACAGAGAUAAGGGAAAGGAGAACAUGAUUCAUGAUGAUAAAUCUGUCUUCGGUUCCAGUAUUGGUGGAAAGAGCAAUGAAGAAACCACGAUGGACAUCAACAAUCAUGGAGAGUUGAAAGGAAAAAAUAUCAGAAAUCCAUCACUUGCCACCAAUAAAGCCAAAAGUAAAAACAAUGGCAAGGACAACUACAACAAGUGUGAUGGUGAUCCUAUUGCACAAACCCAAGGCGUGUCCAUGGACACACACCACCAGGUAUCGAUCGAUGACUACCGAAGGAUGUAUAGUAAUAUUCAUAAGCACCCUUAAAGCCCUGCAGCCUGGCUCUGUUGACUCUUACUAGUAGUGUAUGUGUGUGGCAAAUUUGCUCAGUAUAUAGAGCAAAUUUGCUCAGUAUGUUGUGUCAUGGAUGACUGAGGCCUCUUGGACAAUGUACUAAACUACUAAGUAAAAUAAAAUGUCCAUGGCUAGCUUGGCUUGCUA